AUUGAACGCUGGCGGCAGGCCUAACACAUGCAAGUCGAGCGGAUGAAGGGAGCUUGCUCCUGGAUUCAGCGGCGGACGGGUGAGUAAUGCCUAGGAAUCUGCCUGGUAGUGGGGGAUAACGUCCGGAAACGGGCGCUAAUACCGCAUACGUCCUGAGGGAGAAAGUGGGGGAUCUUCGGACCUCACGCUAUCAGAUGAGCCUAGGUCGGAUUAGCUAGUUAGUGGGGUAAAGGCCUACCAAGGCGACGAUCCGUAACUGGUCUGAGAGGAUGAUCAGUCACACUGGAACUGAGACACGGUCCAGACUCCUACGGGAGGCAGCAGUGGGGAAUAUUGGACAAUGGGCGAAGGCCUGAUCCAGCCAUGCCGCGUGUGUGAAGAAGGUCUUCGGAUUGUAAAGCACUUUAAGUUGGGAGGAAGGGCAGUAAGUUAAUACCUUGCUGUUUUGACGUUACCAACAGAAUAAGCACCGGCUAACUUCGUG
rnacentral:rRNA from 1 species